CAGCUUAAACAAAUAAAUAAAUUCAACUCAUAAAAAAAAGUAAUUUAAUAUGAAGAAUAAAAUAGGAACGUUUUGUAACACUGUUAAAACUUUUUCACAUAAACAGCAAGUUACAUACAAAAUGGUUCAAUUUAAAGCAAACUUUACAAACACACCUUAGCUACAUAGUGUACCACAACCACACCAAUCUCAUCAAUCAACACAACACUAUCAUUAUUUGUAAUGGUAUUAUAUUUUUCACAAUUGUGUUUCUGUAAAAAAUAUGCAAUGAAAAUAAUUUAACACUGCUUAUAGUAUUUAUUUUGUAAUGCAUAGUUCUUUCAAUCACAGAUGUACAAAAAUUAUCCAUUUUAUAUUUUUGUUUGCUUGUCAGCUAGAUUUAACUUAAUUUAAGAAUAACAAUUAUUAAACUAUAUAAUUUAUAAACUUAUUUAUUUUUCUGAAUAUUUUAUUUUGCCUUUUUUCACAACUUUACGGCUAUUUCUUUUUAUAGGAGGGGGUUUGACUUAAUGUAUUAUUGUUAACGAAGAUCCCAUAAAUUUUUAUUGUUUACACAUUAAAAUAAAAUAUAAUCUCUGCAAUAUAUAAUAAUUUUGUUCAUAAACAAUUAUGCAAAAAUACACUCAGAACUAUACUUACACAGAAGUGUUAACAUUCAUCAAUAAAAGAUUUUGGCAUUUAAAUCAUACAAAACAAGAAUGUGUCCACAGUACACGGAUGCCCCACUCACACUAUCAUUUUCUAUGUUUAAAGGACUGUGAAAUUGGAAUAAAUUCUCUAAUUUGGCAUUAAAAUUAGAAUGAUCUUAUCAACGGGAACAUGUAUACUAAGUUUCAAGUUGAUUGGACUUCUACUUUAUCAAAAACUACCUUGACCAAAAACUUUAACCUGAAAUUUGCACUAUCAUUUUCUAUGUUCAGUGAACCGUAAAAUUGGGGUCAAAACUCUAAUUUGGCAUUUAAAUUAGAAAGAUCAUCAUAUCAUAGGGCACAUGUAUACUAAGUUUCAAGUUGAUUGGACUUCAACUUCAUCAAAAACUACCUUGACCAAAAACUUUAACCUGAAAUUUGCACUAUCAUUUUCUAUGUUCAGUGAACCGUAAAAUUGGGGUCAAAACUCUAAUUUGGCAUUUAAAUUAGAAAGAUCAUAUCAUAGGGCACAUGUAUACUAAGUUUCAAGUUGAUUGGACUUCAACUUCAUCAAAAACUACCUUGACCAAAAACUUUAACCUGAAGCCAAAAACUUUAACCUGAAAUUUGCACUAUCAUUUUCUAUGUUCAGUGAACCGUAAAAUUGGGGUCAAAACUCUAAUUUGGCAUUUAAAUUAGAAAGAUCAUAUCAUAGGGCACAUGUAUACUAAGUUUCAAGUUGAUUGGACUUCAACUUCAUCAAAAACUACCUUGACCAAAAACUUUAACCUGAAGCCAAAAACUUUAACCUGAAAUUUGCACUAUCAUUUUCUAUCAGUGAACCGUAAAAUUGGGGUCAAAACUCUAAUUUGGCAUUUAAAUUAGAAAGAUCAUAUCAUAAGGAACAUGUGUACUAAGUUUCAAGUUGAUUGGACUUCAACUUCAUCAAAAACUACCUUGACCAAAAACUUUAACCUGACAUGGGACAGACGGACGAACGGACGAACGAACAGACGAACGAACAGACGAACGAACAGACGGACGAACGGACGCACAGACCAGAAAACAUAAUGCCCCUACUACUAUCGUAGACGGGGCAUAAAAACACUACUUUUAUAUGAGCAGUGAUUCUACAUUCCACAUUAUAAGCCUGGUAUCUUUAAUCAGUACUUACAGUCAACAGUGGUCAUCAACAACAUGUAACAUAAAAUGUUAUUGUGCUGAAAAAAGAAAAACUUCUUCAGAGAAAGUGCAGUUCUUAAGUUUAAUCAUUAUGGAUAAUGUAUAUUACCAUACUAAUUGAAUACAUUUAUACUUUCCCAUAUAAUACCCUCUUAAGAACCCAUGCAUUCAUCACAUGUAUAAGUAAUCUCUGGAAACUACAUAUUGAAGCUGAUAUAAUUUUACUUAGAACUUUAAUUUCCAAAUUAUGAACUAAUUGCAAAAUUUUCUUCCUUUUUCUUCAUUAAACAAUAUUAAUAAGGCAGUGCAUAUUCAACAUAAAAAAACCAAACUACAUUAAAUUUAUCAAAUAAAAU
rnacentral:lncRNA from 1 species